rnacentral:rRNA from 1 species
CUACAAUCAUACCACCUUGAAUAUACCUGACCUCAUCUGAUCUCAAAAGCUAAGCAGAGUCAAGCCUGGUGAGAGCCUCAAUGGAAAGAGAUUGCAAAGA